rnacentral:lncRNA from 1 species
GAUAGGUUUCGGGGAUGAAACUGGACAAUCUGUAAUUGAUUCUUUCUAUUGGAGAAGAAAAUCUGAAAUCCGAUUGGAUUUUCAGGACUGGAUGUAGGUUGUCAAGUUGACAACUGAACCAGUAUAAAUUCUUGGUGCAAUCUUCUCUAACCCUUAACUCCUUUAAUUUUCUAUCUUGCAAUAUCUGUAUAUGUGAUUAAUAUUAGAUGCAUGUUAAACAUAUUCUGUGAUAAGUAAUAUUGUUUAAUCUAGUAAUUUGACUUGCACGCAUCUUGGUUAAUCG